AGCAGCAGCCGCGGGAAUACGAAGGGGGCUAGCGUUGUUCGGAAUUACUGGGCGUAAAGCGCACGUAGGCGGAUAUUUAAGUCAGGGGUGAAAUCCCAGAGCUCAACUCUGGAACUGCCUUUGAUACUGGGUAUCUUGAGUAUGGAGGAGGUGAGUGGAAUUCCGAGUGUAGAGGUGAAAUUCGUAGAUAUUCGGAGGAACAUCAGUGGCGAAGGCGGCUCACUGGUCCAUUACUGACGCUGAGGUGCGAAAGCGUGGGGAGCAAACAGGAUUAGAUACCCCUGUAGUCCCUGUCUCUUAUAC
rnacentral:rRNA from 1 species